AUUGAACGCUGCGGCAGGCUUAACACAUGCAAGUCGAGCGAGCGGCGGACGGGUGGGUAAUGAUUAGGUAUCUGCCCAUUCGUGGGGGACAAGAUCACCAAAGGGAACCUAAUACCGCAUCCUAAUAGAUGAGCCUAAGCCGGAUUAGCUAGUUGGUGGGGUAAAGGCCUACCUAGGCGACGUUCUGUAGCGGGACUGAGAGGAUGGUCAGCCACACUGAGACUGGGACACGGCCCAGUCGCAUACAGGAGGCAGCCAGGGGGAAUAUUGGGCAAUGGGGGGAAACCUGUGCCAACCCUGCCGCGGGUGUGAAGAAGGCCGUAUGGUUGUAAAGGACGUUAAGCGAGGAGGCGUUACUCGCAGAAUAAGCACCGGCUAACUACGUGCCAGCCGCCGCGGUAAUAC
rnacentral:rRNA from 1 species